rnacentral:rRNA from 1 species
GAUGAACGCUGGCGGCGUGCCUAAUACAUGCAAGUCGAGCGAACAGACGAGGUUUUUGCUCCUCUGACGUUAGCGGCGGACGGGUGAGUAACACGUGGAUAACCUACCUAUAAGACUGGGAUUACUUCGGAACACCGGAGCUAAUACCGGAUAAUAUAUUGAACCGCAUGGUUCAAUAGUGAAAGACGGUUUUGCUGUUACUGAUAGAUGGAUCCGCGCCGCAUUAGCUAGUUGGUAAGGUAACGGCUUACUAAGGCGACGAUGCGUAGCCGACCUCAGAGGGUGAUCGGCCACACUGGAACUGAGACACGGUCCAGACUCCUACGGGAGGCAGCAGUAGGGGAUCUUCCGCAAUGGGCGUAAGCCUGACGGAGCAACGCCGCGGGAGUGAUGAAGGUCUUCGGAUCGUAAAACUCUGUUAUUAGGGAAGAACAAAUGUGUAAGUAACUAUGCACGUCUUGACGGUACCUAAACAGAAAGCCACGGCUAACUACGUG